rnacentral:rRNA from 1 species
UACAGGGGGUGCAAACGUUGCUCGGAAUCAUUGGGCGUAAAGCGCACGUAGGCGGUUCGUUAUGUCGGAUGUGAAAGCCCUUGGCUUAACCGAGGAAGUGCAUCCGAAACUGGCGAGCUAGAGUACUAAAGAGGAUCGCGGAAUUCCCGGUGUAGAGGUGAAAUUCGUAGAUAUCGGGGAGGAACACCGGUGGCGAAGGCGGGUCUCUGGGCCGUAACUGACGCUGAGGAGCGAAAGCAUGGGGUAGCGAACAGG